rnacentral:tRNA from 1 species
GGUAGGUCAAUGAUAGACUGCAUUCUUUGUAUGUAUGAUGUCCUGGGUUCAAUCCCCAGCUUCCCCCA